AAAUGAAUAGACGGGGGCCCGCACAAGCAGCGGAGCAUGUGGUUUAAUUCGAAGCAACGCGAAGAACCUUACCAGGGCUUGACAUCCCUCUGGAUGGUGUAGAGAUAUGCCAGGCCUAUACUUUUAUGGUAUAGGACAGAGGAGACAGGUGGUGCAUGGUUGUCGUCAGCUCGUGUCGUGAGAUGUUGGGUUAAGUCCCGCAACGAGCGCAACCCCUAUCUCCAGUUGCCAGCACGUAAUGGUGGGGACUCUGGAGAGACUGCCGUGGAGAACACGGAGGAAGGUGGGGACGACGUCAAAUCAUCAUGCCCCUUAUGUCCUGGGCUACACACGUGCUACAAUGGCCAGCAACAGAGGGCAGCGAAGCGGUGACGCGGAGCGAAUCCCAGAAACCUGGUCUCAGUUCGGAUUGUGGGCUGCAACCCGCCCACAUGAAGUCGGAGUUGCUAGUAAUCGCGAAUCAGCAUGUCGCGGUGAAUGCGUUCCCGGGCCUUGUACACACCGCCCGU
rnacentral:rRNA from 1 species